GCAUGCAGUCGGGCGGUAACAGGAAAGCGCUUGCGCUUUUGCUGACGAGCGGCGGACGGGUGAGUAAUGUCUGGGGAUCUGCCCGGGGGCGGGGGAUAACCACUGGAAACGGUGGCUAAUACCGCAUAAUGUCGCGAGACCAAAGUGGGGGACCUGAAAGGGCCUCACGCCGUCGGAUGAACCCAGAUGGGAUUAGCUGGUAGGUAGGGUAAUGGCCUACCUAGGCGACGAUCCCUAGCUGGUCUGAGAGGAUGACCAGCCACACUGGGACUGAGACACGGCCCAGACUCCUACGGGAGGCAGCAGUGGGGAAUAUUGCACAAUGGGCGCAAGCCUGAUGCAGCCAUGCCGCGUGUAUGAAGAAGGCCUUCGGGUUGUAAAGUACUUUCAGCGGGGAGGAAGGAUUUAACUUGAACAGAGUUGGAUUUUGACGUUACCCGCAGAAGAAGCACCGGCUAACUCCGUGCCAGCAGCCGCGGUAAUACGGAGGGUGCGAGCGUUAAUCGGAAUGACUGGGCGUAAAGCGCACGCAGGCGGUCAAUUAAGUUAGAUGUGAAAUCCCCGGGCUCAACCUGGGAACGGCAUCUAAGACUGGUUGACUGGAGUCUCGUAGAGGGGGGUAGAAUUCCAUGUGUAGCGGUGAAAUGCGUAGAGAUGUGGAGGAAUACCGGUGGCGAAGGCGGCCCCCUGGACGAAGACUGACGCUCAGGUGCGAAAGCGUGGGGAGCAAACAGGAUUAGAUACCCUGGUAGUCCACGCUGUAAACGAUGUCGAUUUGGAGGUUGCGGCCCUGAGCUGUGGCUUCCGAAGCUAACGCGUUAAAUCGACCGCCUGGGGAGUACGGCCGCAAGGUUAAAACUCAAAUGAAUUGACGGGGGCCCGCACAAGCGGUGGAGCAUGUGGUUUAAUUCGAUGCAACGCGAAGAACCUUACCUACUCUUGACAUCCUCAGAAUUUGCUGGAGACAGCGAAGUGCCUUCGGGAACUGAAAGACAGGUGCUGCAUGGCUGUCGUCAGCUCGUGUUGUGAAAUGUUGGGGUUAAGUCCCGCAACGAGCGCAACCCUUAUCCUUUGUUGCCAGCACGUCGAAGGUGGGAACUCCAAAGGAAACUGCCCGUUGAUAAACCCGGAGGAAAGGUGGGGAAUAACGUCCAGUCAUCCUUGGCCCCUUACAAGUAGGGGUUACCACCAUGCUACAAAUGGCGGGAUAAAAAGUGAAGCGAACUU
rnacentral:rRNA from 1 species